rnacentral:lncRNA from 1 species
CCCUUUCAGUCACACUGUACCUCAAGAGGUACAUUUAUUAUGUAUGAUUUCAAACAUCAAUGGGAAUUGACUUAUAUCCAAGAAAAUAUUUUACAGAUCAAAUAUGAUGUCUAAUUCGUAGACGCCUGCAUUCUGCGCGCGAUAUUGUUUUUGCUUGACAGUUAUAACCUGAUUUGAAAUUAGUUCGUUUGAGUAACAUUUGCAAUAGGUUAGGACAGUCUGUUUGUGUAUGUUGUUUUUGCUGCUUAUUUUCGAGAAUAAACGCGGAUAUAUGUUUGAUAGAUAUUGCUAAUAUAGUAAAAAACCACUUACAAAUGAGGAGUUACCAUAUUAUCUUGAAAAUGACGAUGAUUCAGAUAAUCCGAAUCUUGACGAGGAAGAUGAUGGAUGGGAGAAUGAUACUCAAAUGGAAACUAAUGAUGAAAUAGUUCAAUUUUUGAAUGAAAGUGCUCGUUCAGAUGAAUAAAAAGCUAAUUCUCAAGAUGUAGAGGAUGAUUUGGAGCAAGAGCCAAACAACGACCAA